rnacentral:rRNA from 1 species
UACGGAGGGUGCAAGCAUCAAUCGGAAUUAUUGGGCGUAAAGGGCGCGUAGGCGGAAAUGUAAGUCAGAUGUGAAAUUCCGAAGCUCAACUUCGGAGCUGCAUUUGAAACUACAAUUCUAGAGGGUUGACGGAGAAAACGGAAUUCCACGUGUAGCGGUGAAAUGCGUAGAUAUGUGGAAGAACACCGGUGGCGAAAGCGGUUUUCUAGUUAAUACCUGACGCUGAGGCGCGAGAGCAAGGGGAGCAAACAGG